rnacentral:rRNA from 1 species
GACGAAGGGAGCAAGCGUUGCUCGGAAUAAUUGGGCGUAAAGGGUGCGUAGGCGGUUUUUUAAGUGAGAUGUUAAAGACCUGGACUCAAUCUAGGAAGUGCAUUUCAUACUGAAAAACUUGAGUGUGGUAGAGGAAACAGGAAUUCCUCAUGUAGAGGUGAAAUUCGUAGAUAUGAGGAGGAACACCAAAGGCGAAGGCAAGUUUCUGGAACACAACUGACGCUGAGGCACGAAAGCGUGGGGAGCAAACAGGAUUAGAUACCCUGGUAGUCCACGCCCUAAACGAUGAUUGCUAAACGUCGGAAAUAAAAAUUUUCGGUGUUGAAGCUAACGCGUUAAGCAAUCCGCCUGGGGAGUACGGUCGCAAGACUA